CUUUUAGGAGACACACUUCCUAAUUCAAACCUUUACUCCUUGGAGACGCAUUUCCAAGUUAGAGUCCUUCAGUUUAUCCCCUAAGAGACGCACUGUUUAGUAUGAGUCUUUCAGGUUUUGCUUUUAGGAGACGCACUUCCUAAUUUAAACCAUAACACCUAGGAGACGCACUUCUUAAUCAGAAUAUUUCGGUUUAACCCUUAAGAGAAGCACUUCUUAGUCUGGGUUUUUCACGUUUAGCGUUUAGGAGACGCACUUCCUAAUUUGAUUCAUUAUUCCUAGGAGACAUACUUCCUAGUAUGAGUUUUCAGAUUCACCCCUGGGAGACGCACUUCCUAGUUAGUACAUUUGAUUUUACUUUCAUCUUUGAAUUACAUUACAUAUAGUUUAUGAUUUUGCUAGCACUCACAAAAAUUUUCUAGUGCAAACUGGGACAGAAAAAUUUCGUUUGUGUUGUUUGUCUUUGAUGAUUUACAGGACCCACCUGAAAAAUGGGAAAGCAAGUCAGGACCCGCCUAAAGAAUAGGAAGAAAGUCAAGACCCGCCUGAAGAAUGGGAAGCAAAUUAGGACCCUUCUGAAGAAUGGGAAACAAGUCAGGACCCGCCUGAAAAAUGGGAUAUCUUUCAAUUUCAAGUUCAAGAGCCAGCCUGGAAGUAGGGAUGACUUUCAAUUUUAAGUUCAGAAACCAGCAUGAAGAACCAAGUCAAGAUUCAUGAAAAUCUGCAUAGAUAGGAUCUUGUACUUGUAUUUUCUUUUUUUGUAAUAACAGGAGUCGUGGAUCGGAACCUCGACAGGACCUCACUCAACUCUCCAACUCAGUAUGUCUCGUCACCCUUCUUACCUCUUGAACUACACGAGAUCUGAUUCUCUUAUAACCCGAGAUAUAUAGGAUGUCUAAGACCAAGGCUCGAUCACAUUUCUGUUCCGUUCCUUUCUCUUCCUCCAAAUAAUGGUCGGGUCCAAAUUUAUCUCGUCGUCUACGUCUUUGUCUGAGAACUCUUCACGUUCCCAAACAAAGAGGGCCAGGCUGUAGACACAUAAUUUUUUACCCUCCCUGAGUUGUUUUACACCACUAUUAACAUUAAAUUUUUCUUUUAAGUCUAAUCUUGCUAUCUUGAGUAUUAUCUCAUUUUUAAUUGUUUUUUACUUGUGAAAACUGAAAACUAAAAAAAAUAGAGUUGUAUUUAAGACGGAAAAAUGUUUCCCUUUUUAAAUUUUGAGUAAAUAAGUGAGUAUUUUCUUAAGGCUAAAAUUAGGUGAUUAGUAAGUAUAUUUUGAUUUUGAUUUUUUUUUUUUAAAAGAGAACCAAUGAGUUUUUGCCAUGUGGAAAUUCCAAGAUGCCUACUUAUCUUUUGCAACAACUUGCACAUGGCUUUUCACGCACAUCAAUAACAAUUUGUUUUGGCACAAAUAGAGUAUAUUCUGGUGGGACCCAUUUAAAAAGAUUUUUUUCACCUUGGCAUUUUCUGGGUACUACUCCAUAGAUAUAGGAGAUAUACAUAUACACACUCACAAAAAAAUAGAUAGAGAGGGAUGGACAAAUCAGAAAACGAAAAAAAAAAUCAUCUUCUUCAUAUUUUUUGCUCACCUGUAACCAACACCAGCACCGCAUCAUCUCCCGCCAUUAAACCACCACCCCCACUGAUCUUUUUCAACCACGUGCCAACCCAUCGUCGCCACCCACCAAAAAAUAAAUGACCACCGUGAGCCACCAUCCUCAAAUCCAUUUCUCCAUCUGAGACCGCCGUUCGCCACCCUCAUCUGCACCUCUCACCUCCACCAGCCCAAUCAUACCAUUAAACCAUCAUGAAACACCCACCAGAAACCGUUGUAUUCCACAAUCGUACCCCACCCCUAUUUUCUACAAAACACCAAUAUAACCACCAAACACCAUUAAAGUUCUGGGUGUUACGGUUUAAAACAAAAGAAGUCAAUUCAGUGAUGAGUUUUUGUCGGGUUUUUGGUUUACGUCAAGGUCUUCGAUUGGCAGCUCCGUCAGUCGGGUUUGUUUCCGAUCUUGAGUCAAUUUUUGGGUCCAGCUUUUGGCUAUGGAUUGAUUGUUGAAGUUCAUUUUUCGAUUGGCAAAUGCCAAAAUAUUGAAGGCAUCUACUACUGUAAAGUGUCACAUGAACUAGACGGAGGGAGCAGUAAUAAUUAGCUAAACAAUUGGUACAAAGUCCAUUUAACUCAAGCUUAACCGAAAUUAUUGCAGGAAUGCCGUAUUAUUAGCAGACCAGCAUAGCAAUUUAACCCAGCCGACUAACAGAUCCAUAAAUUUAAAAGAACAAUGGAAAUUGUUGUCUAUCUCCACGGUAUUGCUAAUAAGGUUGAUUUGUGGUUUUGCAUCGAAGUGCCGGUAUUGACAAAGGAUGAUAUUCAUCACAAAUUGACAUACAAAAAGAUUUCUCCCGUUGCGAAGCUACUUCGACGUGCUUAUGGAUGGGCAGGAGAAUGGGACGUUACUGGUAACAACAUCUAUUAUGCUGGUGGAUACGCGACUGAUCGAGGGAAGAUUAUCCCUUAUAUGGAAUUGAUUAAACAUAACAUAAUGACACAAGAUAAUGCUGUUGAUUCUUGGGAGAGAGUAAUCUUCCUCGUAGAUCACUUGUUGUCGUGGCUGUUGGUAGAAAAAAACUAUGUAUUGUGGGGGGCGAGCACCGGUCACCUGAUGAUUAUAAAAAAGGCUAAGUGUUGAGGAUGAUGAGCGAUCUGAUCUUCUGCGGAGCAAAGGUGGUGAAGUUUACGAUAUCCAAGAAAAAACCUGGAAAUAACUGGAUGCUGAUUCAAAAUAUUUUAGUCGUUAUAGUAGUUUUAAUCAAGUUGCUGUUGUUGUGGAAAAACAUGGGGAUGAGACGACACAAAUUGUGUUUUAUUGCUUGAGAGAGGCUUCUAUGCUGUUUUUAAAUCGAUGCAACUAAUGGUAUUAUAUUGAAGUAUUUUAAAUCCGAGGAGUUUGCUUUGUGGGAACAUUAUUUGGAUCCUUCUCCACCACCAGGUAUAAGGGAUGUUAUAAACUUAAAUAUACUACCUAGGGUUAUGUUGAAUGUACGAGCAGUGUUCACUAACGAUACAUCCUAUUGGUUCACCUACGACAUGUACUUGUAGUCUUGUAUGCAUAUGAUGUUAUAUCACUA